GUGCAGUGACAGAAGUGUAAAAAGUCGUCUAGAUCGCGAGUUUAAUCUCCCCAAAUAACACACGGCUAAAAAUGGUCUUAACUUAAAGACAAAUAUGUCUUCUUUAGUUUUUGCCCUGUCGUCAGAAUUUCGUACGGUCACUUUUUUCUAAAAAGUUGUUUUAAUGACUGGUAGUAUAUUGAAGAGUUUCAACCCCCUUUUUCAAAAUGAAAAAAAAAAAUGUGUAUGUUUGCUUACAUUUAAUUGAAAUAGUUUUUCCUGAAGCUAUUUUUAUAUGUCAAAAUAUUCCUAUUCAGUAUUUUAUUUUCUUCUAAUC
rnacentral:lncRNA from 1 species